CUUUCUAAAAGGUUAUACCAGUGUUCAUUGCUCUAUUCCUUUAAGCCUUCCAGUAUUUUCUUAAGGUGCGCAAACUCCAGACCGUCUACCCGGCACUGUGAUGGUGGAGGUUGCUGCUUCAAGGUUGACAGAGCCAGAUGAAAACCUCCAGGAUGGCUGAGUCCACACGGGUAUGCUGCCUGCAAGGGUGAGCUGGAAAAGACAAACCAACCAUAAAUAAGCACGGAGAAAAAAGAUAGGAAGAGAAGCUAGACCCAAACCGAAGAUGAAUAGAAAGAUGGAGUGGAAGGAAGACGGGAGAGGAGCAGAGGUGGGGUCCUGGAGAGAAGGGAGACAGAAGAGGAGGAACAGAGACCACAGGAGCAGGAGAAGAGCAUUCAACAGCUAUGUUUGACUUUAGCAUCCAGGCCGUCCAACCGUGCGGGCACUCUUUCCACGUGCAGCUGGACUCCAGCUCCAGGGACCACCGAGAACUCUCAUCUUUGUGAAUGGUUCUGUGGUCUACAUUACAUCCCACAUAAAAUGCAGCUAUUUCACAGGCUGCAGCCCCACCAAAACAGUCUCAUAAAUAGUUUUUUAAGCUUCCAUU